rnacentral:rRNA from 1 species
GGAUCCGAUCAUACCAGCACGAACGCACCGGAUCAGAACUCCGAAGUUAAGCGUGAUUGGGCAAGAAUAGUACUAGGAUGGGUGACCCCAUGGGAAGUCCUCGUGUUACAUCCC